GUGCAGAGAAUUUGUUUGGCAUGCGCAAGCUGCUUACAUCAAUAUAUUAUUAAAAGGGGAGGAGGGAAGAGGACACAGACACAAACUUGUAGCAGUACUGCAGCUUUUCUGGUUCUCUGUGUCUAUACGUGUCUGUGUGUGUGUGUCUGUGUGUGUGUGUGUGUGUGUGUAUGUAUAUAUCUCAUUUAAUCCUGCAUUUCUUUAUCAGAGAAGCCAUGAAGACGCAUCUUUCCAUUUCCCAAAUACGUGUAUGUCUCCCCUGCUGCUUCUCCCUCCACAUCCUGUGACAUGCACUGGGGGCUUGGAUACAAAGUCAGAAGACACCACAAUAAUAUCACACAGCAGCUUCGGCUACAGCAAUAAUCAAGCCCCCUAUGAGGAGAUCUCACACCAAUCAAAAUUGGGCGGUGUGACCUGCCCCCUGGUCCGCCCUGCCGUGAGCAUACCACAGGCCUCCCAGUCCUGAGGCUAUCAGCGAAUGAAACCAGAAUAAGCUGCUCUCUCCAGCAGGGAACAUUCAUAUCCACUGGGAAAAACAAAACAGAAAAGAAAGAAAAUAUCUGAAAAAGAAAAUAUUUUGGCGAAGAUAGAGGAAACUGAACAGACAUGUUCCCUGAGCCUCCACUCUUCUCUAUAUAUUGGGGUUCGCAGAUGAACCAUGAUGUACCAACCUCACCAGAUACAUCAUGGAAAAUACAUUUCAGAUAAGAAGUGGCCAAUUGCUGAGCAUGGGUACUAGAGAUAUUCAAAUUGUAACACCCAUGCAGCAGUGGAAAUAGAACUUUUGAACAUGACCUCCAAAAAUCCAAAUUUCAUAUAGAAAGAACAAAAUUUCAGAAGGCUUACCUUGAGGAGAAUAGGGAAAAACUGUCCAGCUGUAUUCUGCUGGGACACACUGCUAACACAGUAAGAGUAAACCUGAGGAAUCUGUCUUCCGUGGCAAAAAAGAAAUUUUGUAUCACAAAGACUGGAACUACAGAUUAAAGAAUUUCUAUCCCAAAGAUUUAAAUAUAUAAAAGGGACUAAUCAAGAAAGACAGGCCUGUAAAAUAUAUUGGUGAAAAGCUGUAAGAGGAAGCUAAGAGAGCAAGAAAAACAGGAGCUGACAUCUUUAGAAGAUAAUAUCAUUUUCAUAACAGUAGUAAUAAAGCUGCUCAUUUAGUGUUAGAAAAAACUGAAGAGGAAUGUGACUGUCUACGACUCCAUAUCAUCAUCAUCACAGAAUAUCCUAUCUAAAGCUAACUCAUAUUAGGACGUUUUGCCUCUGCUGAAAAAACUUGAUGAGCAUUUCUUUCCAGAAAGGACUGUUUUAAAUGCUUACACAAUUCACUUGCACGUAUAAAGGCCUUUUAUGGCAUUUGCAACUGCUACUGCUAGAGACAGAACAAUGUGAGCAGCUUCUGCCGCCUUUGUGGGUUUUGUAACUGGAUGAAAAGCAGAGGGCACCCUAUCACAUGCUAACUCUCCUAUCACAAUGAAAAAGAAAAAGAAAAAGAAAAAGAA